UAACCUCUAAAUUCAUUCCCUCGACGUCUUCUAUUGUUUGUGUUCGCUGGUUCAUUCUAGUUUUCCGCUUAAUCGAGGUAUGAUCAAAAUACUCGCACGUGUUGAAAAUCUCUGUAAAGUGUUAAAUUGUUUCGAUUAGAACUACAGUUGUAAAUCAUAAAGAAUAUUACAUAGCGAUGAAAACAAAGAAGAAAGAAUUCGAUAUUCUCGAGAAAUAACGCUAUUCUUGGUCGAAAUGGCAACGGGGAAACAAAAAUUAUCGUGACAUUGAAAUAUCUUUGUACACGACCCGGCUUUAACAUCGACGAAUUUAUUUACUAUUACGUUAUAUACUUUAUUAAAAGAAUAGAGGAUAGAGUUGACAAUGUUCUCACAAUAUAUAGAACAUUGGAAUGCUCUAGAGUGACUGGUGGGCCAGAAUCGGAGGUUCUUGAUAAUGCCUUCAGUAGACUUAAUAAGGGUACAAACAUAAAGAUAAACAAUCGAUGUGAUAACCUUGAUACUUACAUUAACCAUGGGUGUUUCAAAAUCAAUCUUAGAUUACGUUGUAUUUUGCCACCAAGAAGAUCUGAGUUGGCCAUUUAUCGAGGGCAAUCAAUUGAAAGAAAAAUCUGAUGAAAUUCUUGACGGUGCAAAUCUUAAUAAAGCACUUGAAGGUAUUAUAAAACAUAUGAAAGAAUUGGCUGUAGAGACUUGAAAUUACUUCAAGAGAAACGAAAGAAGAUUUGCAAUUUCGUGAAAGUAAUUCCUUUAAAAUAAGUAAUGAAACUUUGUCUUUCAAACGAAAGUUUGUAUGUAUGAUUAGAGAGUAUCGCUUAAUUGAACAACAAAUUGAAAGAUUUGAGGAAAAUAUAGAAAAAGUGUUUGUUGGUACAGUGGAGAAAUUAUUGGCUGAGAUUGAAACGUAUGAUGAAAAGCUUGGAGGGAAAAGUUGAUACAAUGGAAGACUUGUAGAAUAUCAGAUUUAUUGGCCAGUGAAAAUAUCACCUGCAGUUCUUUGAAAUAUCAAGUUGAUGAUCGGGAAAUGAAAAUUGCUGGAAGAAAAAAUGCGAGAGUUGGAAUACAUUGGGGAGAACAACAAAGCAAGAAGAGCAGGAGAGGAAAAAAAUUGCAAAAACAAAAUGUGAAAAUAUGAAGAAAGUAAAACAGCUGGAAUCAGAGAUGAAUAAUAAAAAUAAAAUUGAAGAUAAUGCAGAUAAGCCAAAUACAAUUUAUUAAUCAAGAAGAAGUCCUCGUAAGACGAGUAGAUCAUCUAAAAAAAGAAACAUCUCGAUAGAUAAUCAAGAAGAAUUAGAAAGAGUAAUAAAACAAGGCACUGAAGAAUUAAUGCGGGAUACGUACAAAUGAGCACAUGAUAGAUAUAGGAAAAAGUGUACAGAAAUAACGGUUUGCAGUCGAGCAGUGAAUAGAGCUGUCCUAGAAAAUCACGAGCGUAUGGCAUCGUUCAACAAAAUUCUGAAGAAGCUGUGGAAACUUGUACCCAGUGGCCGGAUACUACAUCCAUAGAAAUUCACACAGAUGCUGCCUAAUCUAUAAGUGGUGCAAAAAGAUCGCUUUAGUGCUGGACAGACAGUAAGGUUUCCUUUAGCAAAAACAUAGUUGUUAAAAACGGUAAAUUUGUUCAUUUAUAGAAUGAUAAUUUCAAGUUCUGAUGACAAUUACUGUAAAUCACAAUUUCUGUAAAGAUUGCGGAAUUCUUGCUUUGGAUGAGAACAUAUCGAUAGCUUGCACUCAGGGUAUCAUCAAGGGUCUCAAAUUUUGGUGCAUUAGCUCUACCCCUUUAUUAUGUAUCAACUUUAUCGUCUAUUUCUUCAUCGCAUGUUUCAAUCUCAGCAAGUAAUUCCUCCACUGAACCAACAAAUUCUUUUUCUACAUUCUGUUUUAAUCUUUCCACUGAUUGUUUAAUUAAUACUCUCUAAUCAUACAUACAAACUUUCGUUUGAAAGACAAAGUUUCAUUACUUAUUUUAAAGGAAUUACUUUCACGAAAUUGCAAAUCUUCUUUCGUUUCUCUUGAAGUAAUUUCAAGUCUCUACAGCCAAUUCUUUCAUAUGUUUUAUAAUACCUUCAAGUGCUUUAUUAAGAUUUGCACCGUCAAGGAUUUCAUCAAAUUUUUCUUUCAAUUGAUUGCUCUCGAUAAAUGGCCAACUCAGAUUUUCUUGGUGGCAAAAUAUAACGUAAUCUAAGAUUGGUUUUGAAACACCCAUUGUUAAUGUAAGUAUCAACGUUAUCACAUCGACUGGUUAACGAUAUCACCUUGUUUGUACCCUUAUUCAGUCUACUCAAUGUAUUAUCAAGAGUCUUCAAUUUUGGCGCACCAGUUAUUCUAGAGCAUUCCAAUGUUCUAUGUAUUGUGAGAACAUUGUCUGCUCCAUCCACUAUUCUUUUAAUAAAGUGUAUAACGUACUUAGUAGAGCAAA